GACAUAGGUGGCGAACGUUAUCCGGAAUUAUUGGGCGUAAAGGGUGCGUAGGCGGUUUAAUAAGUUACUGGUGGUAAAUCGGGGCUCAACCUCGUGGAAGUCAGUAAUACUGGAGAGCUAGAGUGUGGUAGAGGGUGGUGGAAUUCCCGGUGUAGCGGUGAAAUGCGUAGAUAUCGGGAGGAACAUCAGUGGCGAAGGCGGCCACCUGGACCAACACUGACACUGAGGCACAAAAGCGUGGGUAGCAAACAGG
rnacentral:rRNA from 1 species